CUCCCCCGUUGCUGACCCCAGGUUCGAUAGCGCCAAUUAGGCGCCACCUCGCCAAGAACCAACUUCGGUGAAGCGGCGGGCGGUGUGUGCGAGGAGCAGGG
rnacentral:rRNA from 1 species